ACUCCCUCCUCCUUUGGUCAUUUUUCUCACACUCCACUCCCUCACACUCUCCUCUACCUCUCCCCCACGAAAAUGCUGCUGCCCCUUGCUCCCAUGGCCGGCCAUGGCCAUGGAAGGCACUCCAAGAUGAAGCUCCCUCCUCCCUCAAGCUCCUCCUCACCAUGAGAGCCUCCCUCUCCUUCUUCUCCCCAACCCUAGAUGGUUUUCUCUCCUCUUCCUCUUCCUCCAUUGCUAAGAUUGGAUCUUGAUGCAGGUGCAUGUUGGUCCAAGCAUGGAGAAGCUUGAGCUAUCCUCAGAUCUGAAGUUCUUGAGCAAAAUCCAAAUCGAGUGAUUCAAAGUUCCGCAGAUAGAUACGGAAAAGAUCUACAACUUGGCGUUGGUCUCAUCCUCAAAUUCGUUACGGAUUGUCCGUGUUGAAAGCCCUCUUCAAUACCUUCAUUUUGGCGGUGGUUUCACUUCGAUUGACCUCCUGAAACUGAAAUGGUUCACAGGUCAAGAUCUGGUCAGAUCUGACUUUGUCGAAUUAAACCAGGAGCUUGGGAACGAAUUUUUGAAUGAAACCAAUUGGGGGAUGUUGGGUUAUACCAUGGUGAUAACCGAGAGAGGCAAUUGCUAAGUUGUGAUACUCUCAUACCUUUACUAGACGCGAGCAAUUCCGGAGAAGAAGAAGAAGUGGAAUUGGACAAGGAUUUUAUUUAUAUUGUUGGGAUUCUUAUAUUGAUAGAGUUGAAGAAGUACAGGGACAAAUAAGCCAAG